AGUCUGACCUGCCCUAUGAUAAGUUUUAUUGAAUGGCCGCGAUAAUUUGAUCGUGCAAAGGUAGCAUAAUAAUUAGUUUUUUAAUUGGGAACUGGAAUGAAAGGUCGAACGAAAAAAAAUCUGUCUCAAUUUAAGUUUAAUUAGAAUUUUAUUUUUAAGUUAAAAAGCUUAAAUAUUUUUAAAAGACGAGAAGACCCUAUAGAGUUUUAUAUUUUUAUUUUUAUUUUUUAGUUUAAGAAUUUAAUUUUAAAAUUAAUUUAAAAAUAUUUGGUUGGGGUGACUAAAAAAUUAAAUAAACUUUUUUUAUUAUUUAAACAUUGAUUUAUGAUUAAGUGAUCCAUUAAUGAUGAUUAUAAGAUUAAAUUACCUUAGGGAUAACAGCGUAAUUUUUUCUGAGAGUUCUUAUCGAAGAAAGAGUUUGCGACCUCGA
rnacentral:rRNA from 1 species